rnacentral:snRNA from 1 species
GGUGAUUGGUUUCUGGCUCCUGAUGCCAUCUGCCUCGUCAAUAUCCUGUCUUGAGUUGAUUUGAUUGAUCGGGCUGGCUAGAAAGGUAUUGCCUACCUCCCUCACUGCUCCAUGUGCAUCCUUCCUGAACAUGCGCAUUUGGUUGAAGAAUUCUGCCUUCCCUGAUAGAGGAGGACCAAUGUUUUGUCAAGGGUACAUGAAUUGCUGGACUCCUCUUUGAGAACCUCCAAACAGCUCUCAAGAUCCUCUUUAUAUGGAAACACCUAUUUAUAUUGUCUUUAUGCUCCUCAGAAAACACACACAUGCACACACACACACACAUGCAUAUAUGCAUAUGCACACAUGCACACAUGCACACAU